rnacentral:rRNA from 1 species
GAUGAACGCUGGCGGCGUGCCUAAUACAUGCAAGUCGAGCGAACGGACGAGAAGCUUGCUUCUCUGAUGUUAGCGGCGGACGGGUGAGUAACACGUGGAUAACCUACCUAUAAGACUGGGAUAACUUCGGGAAACCGGAGCUAAUACCGGACAAUAUUUUGAACCGCAUGGUUCAAAAGUGAAAGACGGUCCUGAUGUCACUAAUAGAUGGAACCGCGCUGCAUUAGCUAGUUGGUAAGGUAACGGCUUACCAAGGCAACGAUGCGUAGCCGACCUGAGAGGGUGAUCAGUCACACUGGAACUGAGACACGGUCCAGACUCCUACGGGAGGCAGCAGUAGGGAAUCUUCCGCAAUGGGCGAAAGCCUGACCGAGCAACGCCGCGUGAGUGAUGAAGGUCUUCGGAUCGUAAAGCUCUGUUAUUAGGGAGGAACAUAUGUGUGAGUAACUGUUCACGUCUUGACGGUACCUACACAGAAAGCCACGGCUAACUACGUG